rfam:Prunus persica cultivar Lovell chromosome G1, whole genome shotgun sequence.
GUGUUUGUAGUCCAACGGAAAAGGACAAUUGCUUGACAAGCAAGAGAACUGGGUGUAAGUCCCAAGUUACACA